rnacentral:rRNA from 1 species
GAUGAACGCUGGCGGUAUGCCUAAUACAUGCAAGUCGAGCGGAAAGGCCCCUUCGGGGGUACUCGAGCGGCGGACGGCAGAGUAACGCGUAGGAACGUACCCCAAACCGAGGGAUAACUGCUCGAAGGAGUAGCUAAUACCGCAUGUGGUCUUCGGACUAAAGCCUUCGGGCGGUUUGGGAACGGCCUGCGUUGGAUUAGCUAGUUGGGGAGGUAAAUGCUCACCAAGGCGACGAUCGAGAGCUGGUCUGAGAGGAUGAUCAGCCUGACUGGAACUGAGACACGGUCCAGACUCCUACGGGAGGCAGCAGUGGGGAAUAUUGCACAAUGGGCGCAAGCCCGAUGCAGCGACGCCGCGUGAGGGAUGACGGCCUUCGGGUUGUAAACCUCUUUCAGCACCGACGAAGCGCAAGUGACGGUAGGUGCAGAAGAAGGACCGGCCAACUACGUGCCAGCAGCCGCGGUAA